GACGAACGCUGGCGGCGUGCUUAACACAUGCAAGUCGAACGCUGAAGCUUGGUGCUUGCACUGGGUGGAUGAGUGGCGAGCGGGUGAGUAAUACGUGAGUAACCUGCCCUUGACUCUGGGAUAAGCCUGGGAAACUGGGUCUAAUACUGGAUAUGACAUGCCACUGCAUGGUGGUGUGUGGAAAGGGUUUUACUGGUUUUGGAUGGGCUCACGGCCUAUCAGCUUGUUGGUGGGGUAAUGGCCUACCAAGGCGACGACGGGUAGCCGGCCUGAGAGGGUGACCGGCCACACUGGGACUGAGACACGGCCCAGACUCCUACGGGAGGCAGCAGUGGGGAAUAUUGCACAAUGGGCGGAAGCCUGAUGCAGCGACGCCGCGUGAGGGAUGACGGCCUUCGGGUUGUAAACCUCUUUCAGCACGGAAGAAGCGAGAGUGACGGUACGUGCAGAAGAAGCGCCGGCUAACUACGUG
rnacentral:rRNA from 1 species